rnacentral:rRNA from 1 species
CCUACGGGAGGCAGCAGUCGGGAAUCUUGCACAAUGGGCGAAAGCCUGAUGCAGCAACGCCGUGUGAGCGACGAAGGCCUUAGGGUCGUAAAGCUCUGUUGUUAGGGACGAAGGGCGAAGGGUUAAUAGCCCUUAGCCUGACGGUACCUUUCGAGGAAGCCCCGGCUAACUACGUGCCAGCAGCCGCGGUAAUACGUAGGGGGCGAGCGUUGUCCGGAAUUAUUGGGCGUAAAGGGCGCGUAGGCGGCCUGGUAAGUCUGCUGUGAAACCUUGGGGCUCAACCCCAAGCGUGCAGUGGAUACUGUCAGGCUAGAGGAUGGUAGAGGCCAGUGGAAUUCCCGGUGUAGCGGUGAAAUGCGCAGAUAUCGGGAGGAACGCCAGUAGCGAAGGCGGCUGGCUGGGCCAUUCCUGACGCUGAGGCGCGAAAGCUAGGGGAGCGAACAGGAUUAGAUACCCUGGUAGUCCUAGCCGUAAACGAUGAACACUAGGUGUGGGGGGAGUCGAAUCCCUCCGUGCCGAAGCCAACGCGUUAAGUGUUCCGCCUGGGGAGUACGGCCGCAAGGCUAAAACUCAAAAGAAUUGACGGGGGCCCGCACAAGCAGCGGAGCAUGUUCUUUAAUUCGAUGCAACGCGAAGAACCUUAC